UCUGAUGAAACUUUUAUCCCACAUUUUUUCUUCACUUUUUUUCUCUCCAUUUUCUCACUCGGUUUUCGUUUUUGCAAGAUACCGAGAGAACAAUAUUUAAUUAAGAAAGGAUAGUUAGUGUACAUGCGUGCCUAUGGGUGGUAUAGUCCUGUAGCAGUCUGAAGAUGAUCGUAUAGUCCUGUAGCAGUCUUAAGAUGAUCAUCCUGUCAUCCACAUCCUCCUUUUUAUUGUCCUCCUUUAGGGAUUCUUGCUUCUUGCACGUAAACGUAUUGUCAUUUACUUCCUCAUUCUUUCUUCGUCUUGAUGUUACUUGUCUUGCUCUUCGUCACACGCCGCCGCCUCGCCACCACGGCUGCUGUUGGUGCUGCCGGCAACUACAUUGUCCUCGUCAUUGCGUUCCCUCAUGCGUCGCUGUCAUGGCACCCUGGAACACUACAGCCACAACUGCUGCUGUCUUUUAUCCUAUAACAGUCCUAGCGAGGUGAAGGAGGGACGCUUGCUUCUGCGGCAAACAAGGACUGAGGUGAAGGAGGGACGCUUGCUUCUGCGGCAAACAGAAGCAAUCCGCGAGGACGACAGGAAGGUGCGAACGUUUGAUUGAGGUGGAUGAAAAUGAUUAAUUAAUUGCUCAAUAUGUUGCUGACCAGCAGUCUUCAACGUUCGCACCUUGUCAUCCUCGUGGGUUGCUAUCUUAAACACCUUCACCACUUUAUCAGAAGCCGCCUCCUUUACUAACUAGUAGGGACUGGAGAGGCAAAGAGGACGGGGCUGAUCAGCAAACGGACGGAGAAACCAAGAGUAUGUAUGAUAAGUAGUAUGGGGUUGUUAAUUCAGCUUGAAAACUUUGUAGUAUGCAACGUAAUAUAGCAGGUAAUGGCAGGGGGAACAGGUUAAGUUGCCUUUAAAUGUGAAAACCAUAAUAUGAAGUGAGGUGUAGUAGAGUUUUUUAUUUCGUGCGUAAUUUACAGUAGUAAUUAAUUACUCACAAAAUUCUCCUCUCGAGUUCAGUUAUUCGCUGCUCUCUCGCUUCCCAGAUGCCAUCUCGUGUCUCCAACCCUACGGGGUGGUUGUAAGCACCGAGGACGCAAGGAUGGGGAUAGCCCACGAACGGCCGGCGAUGUCUUUAGUACGAAAACUCUGGGAGGGCGAAGGCACGUGGCAUUCAGCGGGUGAGAACUCAGCAAUGUUGCUGGAAGACAAGCAAGUGUUGCAACUGUGGACAUCUACCACCAGAGCGGUAGCCGGCCAUCACGAAUUACCCACACCAUUUCGAGAUGAAGAACCGGAUCUGCCAAACAACAACAACGAGAUGGCGCAGAAACGCUUGAAGGGACAGACGACGCCUCGCUAGGGAUCCGGACUUCAGACGACGAUAUGCAGGAGAGAGAGAGAACAAUUGCUGUUAAAGAGCGAUGCCAGCGUCUGAACGUGAAGGACCACGAGGAGUAACCUGGUGCCUGCCUCACCAUCCACUCAUGAACCCAAACAAACCUGAGAAAGUGAAGGCUUUGUUUGCGCAGCGAAGUACAACAACGUUUCCCUCAAAGACUGAGUGAUGCAGGUUCCUGACCUAAAUAGCAAACUGGUGGGUGCCCUUCUGCGUUUCCGAAGUGAACUGAUUGCCGCGAUGGCUAAUGAUGUGAAGGCAAUGUUUCUCAUCAAGCUGGCGUGACCCCUCUUCACCGAGACUCCUUAAGAUUCCUUUAGUGGAAAGAUGGGGACCUAAGGAGGGUAACGCGCGCCUACCGAAUGACGGGUAUGUCUUUUCGGAUGUGUAUGGAGUCCCUCCUGUGCUGCUUACGCAUUGCAAUGAACUUUGAGUUUGACCGACUGUGAGGAAGAAUAUCGCAUGGCCAGUAGUAAACUAAGCAUGGAGAGGCUUGUACGUGGACAACUUAAUUCUUUCAGUACCUCCACCGAAAAUGCCUCCAGAUUUACUCGCGAUCUUCAACAAAUGCUCACAAAGAGAGGAUUUCUGCUAACAAAGUGGGGUUAGUAGUAACCAUAAGGAGACAUAGUAGUAGUACACUGUGUCCUACAGAGAGAGACAUGAAUAAGAAUAGAUCUGAGUAAGGACGCACUGGCUACAAAACGGGAUCUGGAAAGGGAUCAAUCAACUAGCUGUGAGGGGAGUACUGAGGGUGAGCAGUUCCGUGUAUGACCCUCUUGGACUGGUCAGUCCUGUAAUGAUUAAGGCGAAGGCGAAGAUGAUCUUUCAGGACGAGUGCAACCGAAAGGAAGGAUGGAUGCCCCCCUCCUGCUAAAUCACCACAGGUCCUAGUUGGCUUGGCUAGAGGAGUUACCACGACUGACGGUCUUUCAAGUUCCCCGAUGUUACAGGCGGGAGGACAUGGGAGACGUUAUCACUUACCAACUGCAUCAUUUCAGAUCAAACAGUCUGAGAUGGUGAUAUUAAGAGUUGUUCAAACCACAACGUGCAAAGAAGAGAUGAACCUAAAGUUAAAGUCAAAGAAAAAAAACUACAGAGGAAGCAUUCGAUCUGUCGAGUGGAACCCUUCAUGGGUGAGGGUGGAUUUUACUCCAUGUGGACGGCUGGACCACGCACCGUUGCCUGCUACAAGUCGGUAUCCCAUUUCCAUGCUCAUACGGAGAGAGAUCAUCAUAUCACACAAAAUUGAUUCUACAAGAGUGCAUGAGGACUUACUUGACAGUUCACGCAGGAUGGGAGCAUUGUUACGUCACACUUACUGGAUUCCACACACACCACCUGCCUGAGGACCGAGACUAACCCCCAUGCUGGCAUCAUUCUCGUCAGCUGGAGUGGAUUGCUUCAGACCGUUCUUGGUCAAAGUGGAAAGAAGCAGAGUGAAAGUGUUGGGGAUGCCUCCACGUGCACGCACAUAAGAACAUAAGAAAUAAGGGAAGCUGCAAGAAGCGACCAGGCUUCUUCAUGCAGGGACGUGGCAGUCUCUGUAUGAAAUAUAUCUACCUAUUUUUCUCUAUUUCUUAUCCC